rnacentral:rRNA from 1 species
UACGGGGGGGGCAAGCGUUGUUCGGAAUUACUGGGCGUAAAGGGCUCGUAGGCGGCCAACUAAGUCAGACGUGAAAUCCCUCGGCUUAACCGGGGAACUGCGUCUGAUACUGGAUGGCUUGAGUUCGGGAGAGGGAUGUGGAAUUCCAGGUGUAGCGGUGAAAUGCGUAGAUGUCUGGAGGAACACCGGUGGCGAAGGCGGCAUCCUGGACCGACACUGACGCUGAUGAGCGAAAGCCAGGGGAGCAAACGGG